GACGAACGCUGGCGGCGUGCUUAACACAUGCGAGUCGAACGGAAAGGCCCUGCUUUUGUGGGGUGCUCGAGUGGCGAACGGGGGAGUAACACGUGAGUAACCUGCCCUUGACUUUGGGAUAACUUCAGGAAACUGGGGCUAAUACCGGAUAGGAGCUCCUGCUGCAUGGUGUGGGUUGGAAAGUUUCGGCGGUUGGGGAUGGACUCGCGGCUUAUCAGCUUGUUGGUGGGGUAGUGGCUUACCAAGGCUUUGACGGGUAGCCGGCCUGAGAGGGUGACCGGCCACAUUGGGACUGAGAUACGGCCCAGACUCCUACGGGAGGCAGCAGUGGGGAAUAUUGCACAAUGGGCGGAAGCCUGAUGCAGCAACGCCGCGUGCGGGAUGACGGCCUUCGGGUUGUAAACCGCUUUCGCCUGUGACGAAGCGUGAGUGACGGUAAUGGGUAAAGAAGCACCGGCUAACUACGUG
rnacentral:rRNA from 1 species